rnacentral:rRNA from 1 species
UACGAAGGGGGCUAGCGUUGCUCGGAAUCACUGGGCGUAAAGCGCACGUAGGCGGCUUUCUAAGUCAGGGGUGAAAUCCUGGAGCUCAACUCCAGAACUGCCUUUGAUACUGGGAAGCUCGAGUCCGGAAGAGGUGAGUGGAACUCCGAGUGUAGAGGUGAAAUUCGUAGAUAUUGGGAAGAACACCGGUGGCGAAGGCGGCGACCUGGUCCGAUACUGACGCUGAGGCGCGAAAGCGUGGGGAGCAAACAGG